ACCGCGUGCGGKAGGAAGGUCUAUUGACUGUAAACCGCUUUUGAUAGGGAAGAAGAUCUGACGGUACCUAUCGAAUCAGCAUCGGCUAACUCCGUGCCAGCAGCCGCGGUAAUACGGGGGAUGCAAGCGUUAUCCGGAAUUAUUGGGCGUAAAGCGUCCGUAGGUGGUUUUAUAAGUCUGUUGUCAAAUCGCGAGGCUUAACCUCGUACAGGCAGUGGAAACUAUAAGACUAGAGUGCGGUAGGGGUAGAGGGAAUUCCCAGUGUAGCGGUGAAAUGCGUAGAUAUUGGAAAGAACACCGGUGGCGAAAGCGCUCUACUGGGCCUGCACUGACACUGAGGGACGAAAGCUAGGGGAGCGAAAGGGAUU
rnacentral:rRNA from 1 species